rnacentral:rRNA from 1 species
GAAAAAUUUAUUUAAAUUAUUAGUUAAUAUUUAAUAUUUAAUAAAAAUAUUUUUUUUUUUUUUAUAAAUUUAGAUAAAAUUAUUAGUAAUUAUAGUUAAAUAUGUAUAGAGAUAGAAUAUUGAAAAAAUUUUUGAAAAAUAAAAUUUUGAAAAGAAAAUUUAAAUUAUUGUACCUUGUGUAUCAGGGUUUAUUAAAUAAUAGUUAUAAAGUUUAAUUUUCUCGAAUUUAAAAGAGCUAAAAAAUUAUAAAUUUUAUUGUAAAAUAAAUAUUUAUAAUAAUUUUUUAGAAAUGAAACGUUAUUCGUUUUUAAAUUUAUCUAGUUUUUUAAGAAAUGAAUUUAAUUCAGUUAUUUAUUGUUAUAUAGAUAUUUAAAUAUUUAAGUAAAAUAAUUAAUAAAUAUUUUAAGGGAUAAGCUUUAAAAUAAAAUUUAAUAAAUAUAAAUUGGAUUUUAAAAUUUAUAGAAGUGGAAGUAUUAGUUUUAAGUUAGUGUGUUAUAACAAAUUUUGUUUGAAUUAUGAUUUUUAUAUUAUUUUUAAUUAUUUAUUAAAAUUAUUAAUUUAAUUAUUAAAUUAAUGUAAUAAUGAUAAAAUUAGUAUAAUUUUAUGUUUAAUUUUUUUUUUAAUAAAGGUUAAAUUAAGGAACUCGGCAAAUAAUUUUUUCGCCUGUUUAUUAAAAACAUGUCUUUUUGAUGAUAAUUUAAAGUCUGACCUGCCCUAUGAUAAAGUUUAUUAAAUGGCUGCGAUAGUUUGAUCGUACAAAGGUAGCAUAAUAAUUAGUUUUUUAAUUGAGAACUGGUAUGAAAGGUCGAACGAAAAAAAAACUGUCUCAAUUUAAUUUUCAUUAGAAUUUUAUUUUUAAGUAAGAAAGCUUAAAUAAUUUUAAAAGACGAGAAGACCCUAUAGAGUUUUAUAUUUAUAAGUUUAUUUUUUAGUUUUAGAAUUUAUUUUAUAAAUUGAUUAAUAAAUAUUUAAUUGGGGUGAUUAAAAAAUUAAAUGAACUUUUUUUAUAAAUUUAACAUUAAUAAAUGAUUAAAUGAUCCAUAUAUAAUGAUUAAAAGAUUAAAUUACCUUAGGGAUAACAGCGUAAUUUUUUUUAAGAGUUCUUAUCGAAAAAAAAGUUUGCGACCUCGAUGUUGGAUUAAAAUUAACUUUUGGUGUAGAAGCUAAAAUAGUUAGGUCUGUUCGACCUUUAAAAUUUUACAUGAUCUGAGUUUAAACCGGUGUAAGCCAGGUUGGUUUCUAUCUUUAAAUGUUUAAAAUAUUUUAGUACGAAAGGAUCAAAUAUUUGUUAUAAUAAUUAAUUUAAGAAUAUUAUUAAUUAAAAAUUACUUUGGCAGAAUAGUGUUUUAAAUUUAGAAUUU